GGGAGUGAGGCCAUAGCUCAAUGGUAGAGCAUCUGUUUCGUGUGCAGAAGGUCCCAGGUUCAAUCCCUGGCAUUUCCU